rnacentral:rRNA from 1 species
UACGUAGGUGGCAAGCGUUGUCCGGAUUUACUGGGCGUAAAGGGCUCGUAGGCGGCCAACUAAGUCAUACGUGAAAUCCCUCAGCUUAACUGGGGAACUGCGUGUGAUACUGGAUGGCUUGAGUUCGGGAGAGGGAUGCGGAAUUCCAGGUGUAGCGGUGAAAUGCGUAGAUAUCUGGAGGAACACCGGUGGCGAAGGCGGCAUCCUGGACCGACACUGACGCUGAGGAGCGAAAGCCAGGGGAGCAAACGGG